rnacentral:rRNA from 1 species
AGCGAACGUUAGCGGCAGGCCUAACACAUGCAAGUCGCGCGAGAAUAGGGGCUUCGGCUCCUUAGUAAAGCGGCGGACGGGUGCGUAACACGUGGGUAAUGUGCCCUUCAGCGGGGGACAACAGUCCGAAAGGGCUGCUAAUACCGCAUACGUCGGCGAGAUCUUCGGGUUUCGCCGGGAAAGGUGGCCUCUUCUUGAAAGCUACCACUGAAGGAGCAGCCCGCGGCCCAUCAGCAGUUGGCGAGGUAAUGGCUCACCAAGGCUAAGACGGGUAGCUGGUCUGAGAGGAUGAUCAGCCACACUGGAACUGAGACACGGUCCAGACUCCUACGGGAGGCAGCAGUGGGGAAUAUUGGGCAAUGGGCGCAAGCCUGACCCAGCCAUGCCGCGUGAGUGAUGAAGGCCU